rnacentral:lncRNA from 1 species
UUAUGAUACCUGCAUAUAAGUUAUUCCAAGCCUCACCUGUAGUUGUUAACUUUGAAGUGUCUACCAUGCCAUCUUGGGUGGUUGAGGAAUGGAAUGGAUUAGUAUCAAGUGUCUACCGUGCCAUCUUUACUUUUCCUGCUUAGAUAACUUGGGUUUUUUUUAAAAGGUUUUCAAAUCAAAACAUAGCCUUACUCCUCAAAUGAUUCUCUCAAAUCACUCAAUGUGUAUGGUUCCUUACCAAGGCAUUGAUUUGCCUCUUUUCUUCCUACUUCUAAUAAGGCUUUUUGGGAAGCUUAGGGUAGGGGAUGAAAAGGAAGCAUACUUGUAUUUACAUUAGCAAAGUCAAAAACUGCCAAGGAGAAAACAAGUCAUACAAUCAGAUCAAGAUGUUCAUGUGUGCGAAUAUGUGGAUGGUGGAUGGAAGGUAUAUAGAAACUCCUUUUUAUAUGAUCUCUCUCCCUUUGAAAAUAUUUUGAGAACAUGACUUUCUCUUUUUUUUUCAUAUACUUGGACCAUCAUGUGUCCAACUCUUUGUUUUUUCUUUUUUUUCCUAUACUUGGACCUUCAUGUGUCCAUAUUUUUUUUGAUAGCCCAUGUCCCUUUUGUAACGAUAAUUGGAGAGACAGAUCAACAUAUAUAUAGUGGAGCAUUUAUUUUGCGGAAUGGAUGGAUAGGUGAGUGAAUUGUUGCCCAUCUCCUAGUGUAGGAGUUUAGCGUUUUUAAGUGUCAUGAAAUGAAUCUCACAAGGGUCACAAAUAGUUUGAUGAAACUCAAUGCAAAAAUAAGUAGCAUAUGUAUAAGGUUUUCAAUGAGGUCAACAUAUGGCUUUGGUAGGAAUUUAUCAUAUCAUUAAGGAGUCAAGCUAUUUUUUUAUUUUGUCAAAAUAAAAGUACCAAGUAUUUUGCUAGAAGAAGCAAGGUUUCUUUAAUCAUACCAUAUCUUAUUUGUCAACUACUUAGAUGACAUGCUUUCCCUAUGAUAAAUUGUUUAUAAGUAAUAGGACUAUUAGCGAGGAAUAAAGAAUAUGCAAGCCAACCCUAGGAAAGGCAUGUUCAUCAUGAGGAGGUUGGCAAGGCUCAUUGAGUUUAAUUUUAGUGAUCAACAUAAAGUUUGUUUGAACUUAGGAAUUUAGGGAGUUAGUGGGUUUUGUUGCACAAACCUUUGUUGAAGAGGAAGAAGAGGGAACUGGAGGGGAGUCAGAGGUGGUUCGGCUGAACUGGAGGUUCAGCCAUCCCUCUCUGUAGUCUAUCUGUCCUGUUCUUCUAUGGGCU